CAGCCACCUAGCCUCUGUGCUGCUUGCUGCCACAGAAGAGGGAGGUUCUUGGUUGUGGUUUGAGUGUGGAGGGUUUCCAGCAACAGUUACUUUGUCC